rnacentral:rRNA from 1 species
UGGGGAAUAUUGCGCAAUGGAGGCAACUCUGACGCAGCCAUGCCGCGUGUGUGAAGAAGGCCCUAGGGUUGUAAAGCACUUUCAAUUGGGAGAAAAAGCUUGUCGUUAAUAGCGGCCAGCCUUGAUGUUACCUUUAGAAGAAGCACCGGCUAACUCCGUGCCAGCAGCCGCGGUAAUACGGAGGGGGUUAGCGUUGUUCGGAAUUACUGGGCGUAAAGCGCACGUAGGCGGACCAGAAAGUUGGGGUGAAAUCCCGGGGCUCAACCCGGAACUGCCUCCAAAACUAUUGGUCUAGAGUUCGAGAGAGGUGAGUGGAAUUCCAAGUGUAGAGGUGAAAUUCGUAGAUAUUUGGAGGAACACCAGUGGCGAAGGCGGCUCACUGGCUCGAUACUGACGCUGAGGUGCGAAAGUGUGGGGAGCAAACAGGAUUAGAUACCCUGGUAGUCCACACCGUAAACGAUGAAUGCCAGUCGUCGGGUAGCAUGCUAUUCGGUGACACACCUAACGGAUUAAGCAUUCCGCCUGGGAGUAC